UACAGAGGUCUCAAGCGUUGUUCGGAUUCAUUGGGCGUAAAGGGUGCGUAGGCGGCGCGGUAAGUCGGGUGUGAAAUCUUGGAGCUUAACUCCGAAACUGCAUUCGAUACUGCCGUGCUUGAGGACUGGAGAGGAGACUGGAAUUUACGGUGUAGCGGUGAAAUGCGUAGAUAUCAGGAGGAACACCGGUGGCGAAGGCGGGUCUCUGGGCCGAUACUGACGCUGAGGAGCGAAAGCGUGGGGAGCGAACAGG
rnacentral:rRNA from 1 species